AUUGAUGGAACAUGUUUAUGUAAUAACUUUAAGUGUUAUAAAAAGAAUUAUUUCUCAUUAAUA
rnacentral:tRNA from 1 species